rnacentral:tRNA from 1 species
AUCGACAUAGCCCAGCUGGUUAGCGGAUUGGGUUUGAACCAGGGAGGUCCUCGGUUCGAGUCCGGGUCUCCCCA